rnacentral:misc_RNA from 1 species
GUGAAUCAUCAAAUUUUUGAACGCAAAUUGCGCUUCCUGGUAUCCCGGGAAGCAUGCCUGUUCGAGGGUCAGUAUUAACAACAAAUCGGUCUGGUUGCAAAUUGUGACGUUUCCGGAGCUUGGGCCAUCUUAACUUUUUUGGUAAAGGGGCUUAAAAUUGACUUUAUUUGCGCAUUUUUAGACGUCCAUAAAUUUUUUUUUUAUUCGUCUAUUCUUAAUGCCAUAAUCUUAUUAGAUUCGAUAAGAUCGUGUGGCUUCGUGUCCAUAAAAUUUUCAUG